ensembl:lncRNA
AUGUCUAUACAAUUAUUUUGCCUGUUGACUUCUGCAAGCUCAUUAGCAGAUCUGGAUGACGUGCUUCUCAACUGCACUGUGAUGUUCUCCAGCCCAUGCAGUUCGAAAAAUAUUGUUGUUGAGAAUUUCACAAAAGACAACAAGACUCAAUGGAUUAUGGAAAGGAGCCAGUGGGAUCUCAAACAAAUCCAUUUUCAGAGACGAUGUCUGACUAGACUCGAAGACUUUGUCACAACCUUAAGGACACGCACGCUGCAUAGAUUUGCAGAUGCAGAAAAAAAGCACAGUAAAGGAAACUCUGUUCAUCCCAGUCAUUCCUACUGCCAGAUUGUCAAAACCAGGAAACAUUCACCACGACCGGAUGAUUAGCAUUCUGUACCCUUAUACAUGGCUAACCAGUGAUGAGAUGGAUUCAGCUUGCUAUUACAUGGCACAGAAGUACUCUGAUACUGAUGGCUUUCAGUCGACUCUUCUUUUUUCGACACUUUUUUUGCUGUGCAGGCAUUACUGGUACACCAAAGAAGCGACUUGUUCAGAAACGAAACAUUAAUGAUAAUCAUUGGAUUGCUGCAAGCAACAUUUUGGUUGUUAUGUGCAUUUACAACAGUUAAUGCAACAAUUGCAACAAUUAAUAAGACCCCACAACAAAUGCUGUCUUGGAUACUUCAACCAAAGGCACUGCAUGUUGUCCUGAGAAAGCCUGCAGUGCAGAUUUAGCAGUCAGGUAGUAACUGUGGGGUUUUUGCACUGGUAUUUGGUUCUCUGUGAACACAUCAGGCCUGAGGAGUGUUAGCCUACAGAGAAAAAUCUCAGAGAAAGACCCUACGGAGCUUUGGUGGAAAAAACAAAGCCAGAACUUCCUGUUUGAAAAACACAGGCAAAGUCUGAGAAGGAGACAGUUCAGGUUGAAGUUUACUGUUUGUGUAGAACCUCUCACUACAAUGGGGUGAUGGUCCAGUGCAGCAACUUUAAGGCCUAGUACCACCAAAACUGUGUACCUGUCCCCAGCAGUGCCUUGGACACAACAAUGGAGGAAUGGCACUGUCAAAAUUGUAAAGCAUGAAGGACUGUGGAAAGCAGGUGUAAAAUACCAAGCAGGGAAAUUGUGCUUUUCUAAAUCACCUAAAGUGUGUUUGUGUGUGUGUGUAAUUAAAUAUGUUAAAGUUUGUGGUGAAAAUAGGUGAUUUUGUUGGUGGAAUUAAAUUUUUAAAUUAGCAUUUUAUAAUUGAAUUAGAUAUGUACUGAUGUAUUGU